GUGUUUAUAAUUUGGCACGCUCUGUAUACGUCUGGUAGCCCGCCACCGACUGUCGCAUAGCGGGGGAAACGAAGCUAAAUUCUAACGUCAUUUUGUACCUAUACCGUUUCAUCUCUCAUUGGUCUCAUUGCCGUUUACUUCACUGGCCUUGCGGAGUACAAUGUUAUAUACUUAUGUAUUAUAAUGUAUCUUCUCUAUGUCUGUUAUCAAAAAGUAAUGCACGGUUGAAUGUAUACGUUUUGUCAUUGUGCGUACUUUCUAAAGGCAAAUGCAAAUAUCCCGUACGUGCGUUGUACUCUUUAUGUUAAUUAAUCUUUAUGAGAAAUUCUAAGCUAGCGUCUAAUUUCGAGUGCGCGUACUCUUCGCCGUUGUAGCGCAUUUUACUUCCAAAUGCUCGUACUCUUGGCCGCCUUAAAAAGGUGCUCCGUUGAUACCAUCGUAAGUUGGAGUGCAAAUACAUUACCUACCGACUAUAGUAACUGGCGCCAUACUUUGCCGACUCUCGAUAUUUAUCCCGUUCUUUCCCCUUGCGCUGUCGUGACGAAUAACCAUAACCGGUCACUGUGAGUACCUACCUACGCGUUUCUUCUGUUGUGCAAACAUUAUCUCCUGACGACUAGUUGUCAGACCUUAUGUUUUACGACCGAGUAUUAGACAAUCAUCCUACCACAUCCUGCGCUGUUUAGGAUUUGUCUGUGCGGAUUCACCUACCAAUUAUUUAGCCGUAACAUUAUGAUGAACGAACAAGCACUGCAGGGCGGCGAGCCGUUUUCGAUUCGACACGAUCGAUUUCGUCACGAUUAAAAAUCGUCUGAUUAUGCAGAUUUCGAAAAGUUGAAAAAAGACAAACAGAAAAUAAAUUUCGUAUACGAACUGUUGUACAUCCAUGUACCGAUACUAAAGAUUAGCCAACAAGCUACAAGGACAGAAUAAAAUAAAUGGAACUAAUUAUUUCCAGAAGUCUGAUUAUCGAAAUGUGUUGAACUGUUAUUCUUUAGCUGUGCUCCACUGUCCUCAAACUAAAGAUUGGAGGAUACAGCUAUCGGUUGUCUACACCAAUCGAUCUGCAUGUAUAUCACUUAAAAUAUUAUGACCUAGGCAUUCCGGACAUACAGUGGGCUCUCGACUACGGGUAUCCCAAGGAUCUACAAUACAAAGUUUACGCUAGUUUGUGGACAAGACAGUAUCUGUGUGGCUUAUUAUCCCAGUGGUAUCUUAAUGACCAAGUUAUCAAUGACUACAUGGAUCUUUUAUGCAAAGCUACCCUGAUGAUUAUUGUUUCGACACGUUUUUGUUUACGCAGUUGACUACAUUUGGUGAUGAAAAGGUUGAACAGAAGAAGAACAGUGUGGACUGUGGUGUAUUUCUAUACACAUUUGCGGAAUACCUGUGUAGAGAUGUCCAGUUAAACUUUGACCUGAUUCAUAUACUGUCAUUCAGGCAGCUAAUUUUAUAAGAGCUGACAAUAAAGAGACUGAUUGAUGUAGAUGUUCCCACAUCAGACAUCGUUGAGUUUAUAAGAAGUAUAGUUUUUCAAACAUAAGUUUUAAGAGGAUGUCAUACCUGCAUGUGUUGUCUCCGCCUUACAAACAUACAACGUAACAAAUUUUUGUUCACUAGUUUCGAUAGUGUGCUGUUAGUUUUGAUAUUAGAGUGAAUUGAUCUGUUAUCAAACUUAUUAGUUAAAACAUUACCUGUGUUCUCUCAUAAGUUGGAUGGUUUUUAAAAGAAAGGGCCCUAGUCAAAUAUUGAUACUUUUUAGGAGACACAAAAAACAUGUAACUUUGUAAAUGUUUAAUGUUUUUAAAUUUUGAAUUCAUAAUCAUGUUUAAUAAGUGUUUUGUUAUUUUACUAUUAAAUAUAUUUUAAUGUUUAUUUAUUUUCUUCAAAGUAUAAUGACUUAUGACCUAUUGCAUAUACCUGUUUGACUUUAGCCCUUUCACAUCAUGACUUGAGACUUAUUGCAUAUGAUUUUAUAAGACAUAUUUGUCAUAAAACAUCAAUACGAUAUUAUUAUUUUUUAUUACUUAUGUAUUUCUUUGAAAAUCAAGAAUGAUCACAUAUUUGUUCGUAUCUAAAAUAAAAAAUUAUAAACAUCAUUGAUAAUUUUGGUACAAGACAAAUCCAAUUUUUUUUAAAUAGCAUCUUCCUUAAGUGAAACCUUGUAGAAAAUCGUAUUUAUUUCUUCUUUUAUAUAUACCGUAACCAUUUCACUUCUUGAAAUACAAAUUUAUCCCCAAGAGUAUUAUUCUUCUUCAUAUUAUAAUAAUUUGUUUUUAAAAGACUCUGGAAAUCAUAUAGAAGUUGCUUCGAUUCAUAUCUUCGACCUUAAACUUUUCUUUUCCUGCCGUUUUAACUUUGACCAAUCAUAAGGAUGAUUUACUGAAGUCUGGUACCUUUUUCUAGCUUUUUCACUCCUGGCAUGAUCUGAAUUUCACUCCAUUCUAUUUUGACCAGGGACCAUGAAUUUAUGGUCGAUUUCUGCAAUAGAGUCAUGUUUCUCUAAAAACCAAAGACACAUUACCAUAAUAACGCUGUUUUUGUUCUGACCUCCACAACAAUCACUAUUCAUAAUUACAUGGUUUAUUUCAUCUGAAAGCUUACCUAAGUAAUCAAAUAUACAGGAACCUAUGUCAUCUCUCUCUUUUAGCUAUAGGGUCACUCCAAAUGUAACUGGAUGCAUUGGAAGAAAUAAUAUUAUGCAUUGUCAAAUUGUGAGUCCAGAGUUGUCACUUUUAAAAUACAACCGAUGACUUUAAAGAUGGUGUUGGGAGACAUUGCUGGAGAUCAAAGGCUAACACACAUGUAUUUGUUGAAACUGUUGAUGCAUCCAUUCUUUUUGAAUUAUAAGCCUCUUCUGCACUAUUUUGAUGUUCAUUUUUUUCGGUUAGAAUUUUCGUUUUGUUUUCUUCAUUCAAACGAUUUGAAAGUUGCAUUUUAAUUCAUUCACACAGAGCACACGUAUCUUUUUAGUGUUUUUUAUCUUUAAACCAGAUUCUUUAAGUCUUCUCAUAGACUGAUCUAUUUACUGUUUUUCAACAGAUUUUACAUAAUCUUCAUAUGCGCAUUGGAGUGUCAAGUAAGGAGGUAAAUAUUUCUUAGCUGUUUCCUUCCAACAGUAAUGGCUUUCAUAGCUUCCAGCUUCUUAAUAUGAUUUUUUACUAAUCCUUUAUUCUCAACACUUUUUUUAUUUUUAGGUUCUCUACGUCCCCUUCUAUCUGGUGUAGUCUUAUUUUCUGGAGAACUUAAUUUUUAUUUGCAUAUAUUUUUUAAAAAUGUUGAUGUUUCCCCAAAUAUUUUAAGAAAAUAACCCUGGCAAACCAGUUCCAAACUAUUAUUUUUAGGCAUAAAAUAAUGACGUGUAUUGUUUCUAGUUCUUUGCUUUUCUGGAGUUUCAGUUCUUUUUCUAGUAGUUUUUUUUUCAGUACAUGUAAUAUAGCCUGAAAUAUAUGCCACUCUUCUCUCAUAACUAUUCAUGGACCAAUUUAUUCUAAAUAAUUCUUCUCUUAAGUUGUCAUCUAUUUUGGUGCUACAUUUCGCUCUGCAGUCAGAUAAUGGUUCAGAACAUAUAUAAAUAAGAGCUGGGAUAAGCUCUUUAUAGUAUUAUUGUUUAUACUUAAAUUUUUUUGUUCUUUCCUGAAUACGUUCAUCAACAUCAAUUGUGUUAAACAAACUUCUUCUAAUAGUUUGUCUUUUUGGUUCAUUGUUAUGCAUUUUAGUGGUUUUAAUUUUGUCAUUAACUAUGAAUAUUAGAACUAGGUAUGCAUGUAAGAAUAUAACAAUAUUAAAUCUAUUGAACAAAACAAUAGAAUGAGUAUUGAAUUACGUGUUUUUAUUUUUCAGGCAACUCUAUAAGUAACCAUCAAUAAAUUAUUAACUAACCUAUAAGUGUUUAUAUAUUGUUAAAAUUUGGUACUUACCAGUUGCCAUCAACAAAAGAGCACGACUUCUUUUGGACAUUUUGUAUAUUGUAAUUAUUGCUAUUUUGUAUAAUAAAUACAAAAUAGGCCUAUUAAUCAUAAUUCACUUAAUGGAAAACACUUAACAACGUUUGUAAUACAAAAUUAGUGACUUAGGUCCUUUAUCAUAAAAAAAAUCUGUACAACGACUUAACACCAUACGCAUUCUAUUUUAUCUCGUAAACCAAAUCCCACAUGAUAUCUACAGUGGUACCAUUCAACGCGGCUUGAAAUUUCACACAAAAUCAAUGCAUAAACUGAAAAUGUACAAAAUUGACUUAAGCCUCUUAUCUUAAAAACCCUCCAGUUUAUUACAAUAUUUAAAUUCUUACUUAUGAGUGUGUAAAGUAUUAAUAUUUUAAAAUGGUCAUAAUCACUUAAAAUUUAAAAUACCAGAAGAAACCAAAAAGAGGACAUGAAUAAUAUUCUUAUCUAAAAGUUAAAUUAUAGAUCAAUUCACUUUAAUAUCAAAAUUAAUAGUACACUAUUAUAACUAGUGAACAAAAAUCUGCUACAUCAUAGAUAUGUAAGACGGAGACAACACAAGUGAACUCAGCAACAUCCCUUAACCAUUGCAUUUAAUUUUUAAUUGUGAGUAAUAUUAUUAGUACUAGUAAUUUCUAUUAUUAUUAAGAUAUUAGUGUUAA